GAUGAACGCUGGCGGCGUGCCUAAUACAUGCAAGUCGAGCGAACGGACGAGAAGCUUGCUUUUCUGAUGUUAGCGGCGGACGGGUGAGUAACACGUGGAUAACCUACCUAUAAGACUGGGAUAACUUCGGGAAACCGGAGCUAAUACCGGAUAAUAUUUUGAACCGCAUGGUUCAAAAGUGAAAGACGGUCUUGCUGUCACUUAUAGAUGGAUCCGCGCUGCAUUAGCUAGUUGGUAAGGUAACGGCUUACCAAGGCAACGAUGCAUAGCCGACCUGAGAGGUGAAUCGGCCACACUGGAACUGGGACACGGUCCAGACUCCUACGGAAGGCAGAGGUAGGAAAUCUUCCGCAAUGGGCGAAGGCCUGACGGAGCAACGCCGCGUGAGUGAGGAAGGUCUUCGGAUCGUAAAACUCUGUUAUUAGGGAAGAACAUAUGUGUAAGUAACAGUGCACAUCUGACGGUACCUAAUCAGAAAGCCACGGCUAACUACGUG
rnacentral:rRNA from 1 species